rnacentral:rRNA from 1 species
AUACGGAGGGUGCAAGCGUUGUCCGGAUUUAUUGGGUUUAAAGGGUGCGUAGGUGGCGUGUUAAGUCAGUGGUGAAAGCCUGCAGCUCAACUGUAGAGGUGCCAUUGAUACUGACAUGCUUGAGUAUGGACGAGGUAGGCGGAAUUUGUGGUGCAGCGGUGAAAUGCAUAGAUACCACAAAGAACACCGAUAGCGAAGGCAGCUUACUGGACCAUAACUGACACUGAGGCACGAAAGUGUGGGUAGCGAACAGGAUUAGAAACCCGAGUAGUCC